UUAAUUACCUCAAUCUUGUCUAACUCCCACUUCUCAAGAAGGAAUUAAGACUUUAGAGACAUGCCUCCAUUUAAUCAUGCUAACGGGUGACAUGGAGAUCCAUUUUCUUGACAAGACGGUUGAUCACCCUAUCACGGAUUCUAUUUGAAUGAUCAGAAAAGAGUAUGUUGCAAGAUCUCACAGUGG